CCGAUGUCAGCAUUACCAGAAUCAAUUACUCCGUUUUUAUUGGCUAUGAUGUCACAUUGAUGUGCUGGGUUUCAUCAAACGCUGCCAACGUUUUCUGGCAGCGCACAUCCAGCAAUGGUAUUACCGAUAUCCACGUUAAUGGGAUCAAGUACGAAGGAUCAGAUGUCAUGUUUCCGUCCCUUACCAUUUAUAGAGCUGAACAAAAUGAUGAGGGAAAUUAUAUCUGUAACGCUGCUAAUAAUUGGGGACCUCGUCAAAGUAAAAGAAUCUUCCUCCGAGUCACUGUUCGUAAGUGUCAAACCAAACAACAAUGUUUCAUUUUUAUAAUUAUUAUUUUUAUUUUUUGAAAUAGUCCUUAAUCAUGUAACGUUCAUCUCAAUGUAAUGGACUUUUUUAUUUGGACCUGAAACAACACAGGACGCGUGUAAACAAUAUACCGGAACGGCAUCCUGAGACCCCGGAUUUUAAUCCCAGCAUAAUAGCUUCUAUCAGGACAUCAGUUUGUACAGCUAACACUCACCUCGCAUCCAUCAUCAGUUUGUACAGCUAACAUUCACCUUACACAUCCAUCAUUAGUUUGUACAGCUAACACUCACCACACAUCCAUCAUCAGUUUGUACAGCUAACACUCACCUCACAUCCAUCAUCAGUUUGUUCUCGCACAUUAAUACCACUAUGGUUUGUUUGUGAUGUCGUCGUUGUAAUGUUGUCGUUGUAAUGUUGACGUUGUGAUGUCGUCGUUGUGUCGUCGUUGUGAUGUGGUCGUUGUGAUGUGGUCGUUGUGAUGUUGACGUUUCGUCGUGUUGAUGUCGGUCGUUGUGUUUUGUAAUGAUGAAGUUGUCCUUUUAAGAAGUUCCUAGAGUAUGAGAGAGAGUGUAAGAACAGGCAUAUUUGUUAAAAUGUGAAUGAAUCUUGCCAACUUUGCUCGGUAUAUAAUGUAUUAAGUAUAUUGGCAUUGUAUAGACCAUGAAAUUUACAUGAUGUCUUGAAAUGUGUGAUUUUUAUACAAUUGAUAUUUACACAUAUCCUUGAAUACAUUUGUAUAAAACGUUUGCUAUGUAUACACAUUCGUUGUUUAAGUGUGUACCAACGAAAUAACCUGAAAGCUCGUAUACAGUAUAUAGUCGUAUAAUUUAUGUUUCACGUAUUGCAUCCUAUCAUAAAUUUGCGUGAUGUUUUUGACUUACAAUUUGUACUUUUAUGUGUUCACCUCAUUGUUAUUUUAUUUGUUUCUACAAUGGACAUCAACGUGAAGAGGUAAGAGUAAGUGAAAAAAAACAUAACAUCAGCAUACUUAGUGAUUAGUUCAAAAUAUCCGGAUUAUAUCUAUUGUAUUUUAGUAUUUUCUCUGAAUAAUUGAUGUUAGUACAGAUGAAUAUAUAUGCUUAGAUUGUCUUCGUUUUGAUAAAUACACAUAUGUACAUAAGUUAAUUGGGGACUAAAUGGUCAGAACACUGUAUUAUAUUACGUAUCAGAACAUACUACUUUCAAUUUAUAUAGAAGUCAAUUGUGAAUAUGCAAUUGUAUAUAAAAAAAAAAUGUGAUAAUUUUUUGUAAACAAAAAUAUCAACAUUCUCUUUAGGAUAUGCACAUGUACUCAGUGAUAUUCAAGUUGAUAAUUUCAGCAGAUGUUUUGUUUUCAGAACUACGGCUCGUGUUCAUCAUAUCGGCAGCAUACAAUGGACCAAGAGAUACAGUAAAGCGCACGAUACAGUUUCCGAGAUGACAUUCUUCCAAAUUAUGGCUAGUGGACCAGUGUUGAAAACUCCAUUUAAGCAGGACAGUGGUAAACGUUAUAACAUUAUCGUCUAUGGGAAAUCGUUUGGUUCCCUGGUUCCUACAGGACACAGCCGUGUACGAGAUUCAUAACAAGGGAGAGACAGACAAGUAUUUGGUGGACCACAUACAUACCACAGAGGUAAAACUUGUAAACAGUGGUGGAGAAUUGAUUCCUUGGGCCUCCAUACCAAACUAUAUCAGAAGGACUACAUGUACGUUAUCCUGUAACAUGGCUGAUAAAUGAGGACUCGGUUACCUUAUUUAGUCUGGAUUUCAUUCACCAAUGUGUUGACAUUGUAAUACAUUUAUAGUUGUCAGAUAUGAGGAAUCAAAGUUUGUAAUAUUGACAUUGACGUGACAUUUGCACUUCAUUUGAAUCAGCCAGGAGCGUA